rnacentral:rRNA from 1 species
AUUGAACGCUGGCGGCAGGCCUAACACAUGCAAGUCGAGCGGAUGACGGGAGCUUGCUCCUUGAUUCAGCGGCGGACGGGUGAGUAAUGCCUAGGAAUCUGCCUGGUAGUGGGGGACAACGUUUCGAAAGGAACGCUAAUACCGCAUACGUCCUACGGGAGAAAGCAGGGGACCUUCGGGCCUUGCGCUAUCAGAUGAGCCCAGGUCGGAUUAGCUAGUUGGUGAGGUAAUGGCUCACCAAGGCGACGAUCCGUAACUGGUCUGAGAGGAUGAUCAGUCACACUGGAACUGAGACACGGUCCAGACUCCUACGGGAGGCAGCAGUGGGGAAUAUUGGACAAUGGGCGAAAGCCUGAUCCAGCCAUGCCGCGUGUGUGAAGAAGGUCUUCGGAUUGUAAAGCACUUUAAGUUGGGAGGAAGGGCAGUAAGUUAAUACCUUGCUGUUUUGACGUUACCGACAGAAUAAGCACCGGCUAACUUCGUGCCAGCCGCCGCAGUAAUAC